ACUCCACCAGCUGCUAUUUGACAAUAUCAACGCGGGACUUUUAACAUUCGCGGCAAAAAUCUUCUCUUGGGCUGAAAGAGAGCCGAGAUGCUCAAAAAUUCAGAGGAUUUUUACAGUUUUCUGUGGAAACAUAAAUUAAACCCAGGAUCUCUGUCUGCUGGCAUCAGAACAACGUGAACCUCAGUGGAACUUCCUCUCCCGACUGGACUGCCGUGUCGGCGUGGAGAUUCGAGGAACAGUCUAUCAGGAAACAAAGAUCCCGUUUGCAUACGCGCAGGAGGUCAUUUUCCUAUCGUCAUAGGAAAAAAAACGGGAAAAUCCGUGCCGCUUCCUGCUUCCUUAAUGCCACGGGGAUGGAGAGGACGGGAGGCGGGACUCACCUGUGAUUGAUCUAGAGGAGGAGGAGGAGCUGGAGUGGCCGUUCCGGAUGGGCGGAGGAGGAGGAGGCGGUCCCGCUGGCGUUCUGGAGGAUGAUGAAGCUGAGGAGGAGACGGGAGGAGGAGGCUUCCCCGCCCGGAUCGGAGGCUCGGAGGCUGCAGAGCUGUGGCCGCGGUACGGAGGCGGGGGAGGAGGAGCAUCCCGGCCGCCAUUCCGAGAGAUGGGAGGGGGCGCAGGGGGGCCUGGGACCAGGAAAAAAAAGACAAAACUCAAGAGUUUAGGGUUUGAAUCUGGAAAACGAUGAGCCUGAGGGGGAAGUGGACCGCUGAACGGGUGUAGUUCUUCAGUAUCGGACUGAACGGGGUGUUUGGGGCAGAUCUGUGUUGGGGAUGGGGGGGGGGGGUUCUGUCUCUAAUGACGAUCAAAGCACAGCCUUAAAUAAAUACAUUCACAAACAUUUUAUGAAAGGAAGAAAAUAGAUUUAUAUUCACUGAAGAUUAUCCCACUUUUUUCCAGGUUAGGAGUUUGUUUUUAGGAUCUGGCCGUGGUAGAAGACAAACAGAUUGGUGCAGACAGUUUUAUUUAUUAUAGGUUUUAAAUUCUAUCAUAUUUUGACUCAUAUUUUGAGUUUAUUAGUGUAUAAGUUUGAGCUCUUUUUCCUCCCUUUGCUUAAAAGCACUUUUCUAGUUAAAAUGUUUUAAUUUAAAAAAGAUCGAGUGCAAAUAAGGAUCUUUGUGCUGUAAAUUUGUAACAAAUACUAAAACUGUGAUAGUUCAAUAAAGUGAUAACAAAUG